UACAGAGGUCCCGAGCGUUGUUCGGAUUCACUGGGCGUAAAGGGCGCGUAGGCGGCUGGGGAAGUCCGUGGUGAAAGCUCGUGGCUCAACUGCGAGUCGGCCAUGGAUACUCCUCGGCUCGAGCACUGUAGAGGCAGGUGGAAUUCCCGGUGUAGUGGUGAAAUACGUAGAGAUUGGGACGAACACCAGUGGCGAAGGCGGCUAUCUGGACGGUUACUGACGCUAAGACUCGAAAGCGUGGGGAGCAAACAGG
rnacentral:rRNA from 1 species